rnacentral:rRNA from 1 species
CCUACGGGAGGCAGCAGUGAGGAAUAUUGGUCAAUGGGCGAGAGCCUGAACCAGCCAAGUCGCGUGAAGGAUGACGGCCCUACGGGUUGUAAACUUCUUUUGUCAGGGAGCAAUUGAGUCCACGUGUGGUCUUAGCGAUAGUACCUGAAGAAAAAGCAUCGGCUAACUCCGUGCCAGCAGCCGCGUUAAUACGGAGGAUGCGAGCUUUAUCCGGAUUGAUUGGGUUUAAAGGGUGCGUAGGCGGAAUAUCAAGUCAGCGGUAAAAAUUCGGGGCUCAACCCCGUCGUGCCGUUGAAACUGAGGUUCAUGAGUGGGCGAGAAGUAUGCGGAAUGGGUGGUGUAGUGGUGAAAUGCAUAGAUAUCACGCAGAACUCGGAUUGAGGAGGCAGCAUACCGGCG